rnacentral:rRNA from 1 species
CCUACGGGAGGCAGCAGUGGGGAAUAUUGCGCAAUGGGCGAAAGCCUGACGCAGCGACGCCGCGUGAGGGAUGAAGGUCUUCGGAUCGUAAACCUCUGUCAGCAGGGAAGAACAGUCACUGUGCUAAUCAGCAGUGAAUUGACGGUACCUGCAAAGGAAGCACCGGCUAACUCCGUGCCAGCAGCCGCGGUAAGACGGAGGGUGGGGGCGUUAAUCGGAAUUACUGGGCGAAAAGGGCUCGUAGGCGGUAUGGCAAGUCAAGGGUGAAAUCCCCGCGCUCAACGGGGGAACUGCCUUUGAAACUGGCAAACUGGAGUGUGUGAGAGGAUAGUGGAAUUCCAGGUGUAGGAGUGAAAUGCGCAGAUAUCUGGAGGAACAUCAGUGGCGAAGGCGACUAUCUGGCACAUAACUGACGCUGAGGAGCGAAAGCGUGGGUAGCAAACAGGAUUAGAUACCCGUGUAGUC